CUCUCAAGGUUACAACGAUCCCCAGGUUAGAGUUAGCUGCUGCCGUUGUUUCUGUCAAAGUGAGUAGUAUGCUUAAUAAGGAAUUGGACUAUGCUGUUAUCAAGGAAACCUUUUGGACAGACUCCAAAGUAGUAUUGGGGUAUAUAAGUAAUGAAGCACGCAGGUUCCACACAUUUGUCGCAAAUCGAGUACAAAGAAUACACCUCAGUACAACUCCCCAGCAAUGGCAGUAUGUUCCAACAGACGAAAACCCUGCUGAUCAUGCAUCCAGAGGUUUAACAGUGAAGGAGUUGCUUGUUUCAAACUGGUUUACUGGCCCUAAAUUUCUGUGGGACAGAAUAUCUGUAUCAAAAGAACAUGUUCCUGAACUUCUGUUUGGAGAUCCAGAGGUAAAAACAUUUUGUACUUUGAAUACUGAGUGCACAAAAACUCUGAGUUUGAUGGACGGUGUUUCAAAGUUUUCUUCUUGGUCAAAGGCAAUCAGAGCUGUAGCUCGUCUUUUGAGAAGAGCUAAUAAAGUAAAAUCGAAUCAUCUCAGUACUGUAUUAGAGCGGCAAAAAGCAGAACUUCACAUAAUCAAAUGUCUGCAAGGUAGUUCAUACAAAGAUGAGCUAAGAGAGAUAAAAAGUGGUAGAAGUGUCAUGUCUCGUAGUGCAUUGUACUCUCUUGACCCUUUCAUGGAUAAGGAUGGUGUACUCAGGGUGGGAGGUAGACUCUGCCGUUCAGUCUUUCCAGACUCUGUGAAACAUCCUAUAAUAAUUCCAAAGAAUCAUCAGAUUACCAAAUUGAUUGUUUCCCACUUUCACAACAAAGUUGCACACCAAGGGAAAGGAUUCACGAUAAAUGAGAUAAGAUCUAAUGGCUUUUGGAUCCCAGGAAUCAAUAGAAUUGUGACGUCCUAUAUUAGGAGUUGUGUUGUUUGCAGAAAGCACAGACGACCUGUUGAAGAACAGAAAAUGGCUGAUUUUCCCCCAGAGAGAGUGGCUCCAUCGCCUCCAUUUACAUAUACUGGCAUGGAUUGCUUUGGCCCCUUUUUUAUCAAGCAGGGCAGAAGUGUUCAUAAACGGUAUGGUGUUCUAUUUAUUUGUUUCAGUUCUCGUGCUGUACACAUCGUGAUGCUUACUGAUAUGACAGCCGAAUCUUUCAUCAAUGCUCUGCGUUGUUUUAUUGCAAUAAGGGGCACGGUGCAGCAGAUAAGGUCCGAUCAAGGGAGCAACUUUAAGGGAGCAAAAAAUGAGUUAAAAGAUGCACUUAAGGAAAUGGAUGUGGGGAGAGUGACAACCUUCCUAUCAGAGAAUCAGUGCGACUUUAUCAUGAAUGCACCACAUGCAAGUCAUGUUGGUGGCGUGUGGGAACGUCAAAUUAAAACCAUAAGAUCUGUAUUAAAUGCUACUCUUGCACUUCACCCAGGAAGAUUAAAUGACUCCUCUCUACGAGCUUUUUUGUAUGAAGCAAUGGCCAUUGUGAAUAAUAGACCACUUACUACUGACUGUCUGACUGAUCCUCAAAGUCUGACACCAAUCACUCCAAAUCAUCUGCUUACGUUAAAAUCAACUACUGCUUUGCCUCCUCCAGGAAACUUUGUUAGGGAGGAUGUGUUUGCACGGAAAAGAUGGAGACAUGUGCAGUAUUUAGCAGAACAAUUUUGGAGUCGUUGGCGCAAAGAGUACCUUGUGAACAUAGCUGGCCGGCAGAAAUGGAACAUGGUUAAGAGAAAUCUCCAAGUUGAUGAUCUUGUUAUCGUCAAAGAAGAGGAGAUGCAUAGGAAUGACUGGAGGCUUGGCAGGAUAAAGGAGAUCAUUUUUAGUGGUGACGGACUUGUAAGAAGAGCCAAGGUUAUUCUAGGUGACUCAAAGCUUAGUGCAGAAGGCAAGCGCAUUAACAAACCAUCCAUAAUUGAAAGACCAGUGCAAAAACUUGUCUUAUUAUUGGAGGGACAUUAGAGUUUAUUGGAUAGUUUCUCAUUUUGUCAAGUCAAUGAGUAUAAUUUUAAUAUUUCUAAAUUCACGUCUUUGCAUAUUUGAUGUCAUUAAAUUGAAAUGUAAAAAAAAAAAAAGAAAAAAAGGGAUAAAUGGAAAUUAUUCAUGCUUAUGCAUUUGGUGUGAGAUUUGCACUCAUAAUUUGGUGGGAGUGUUAA
ensembl:lncRNA